UAUUCAGAUAAUAAUGAUUAAAAAAAAAAAAGUUUGGGUGAAUUAAAAUCCUGUAGCAGAGCCUGUAAAAUCCCUUGGCAACUGCCAACUUUUGAAGUGUUUCACUUUAAUUUGCACUGAUGGUAAUGAACAUUUAAACACUUCAGGGGUUUUAUUUAUUUAUUUAUUUCAGUCUGACCCACUAGUAUGCUUUUAAGGUCUUAUGCUCUGGGGUAAAAUGUUGUUCUUUGCCUGCUCUUGGAGCACAUGAUCCCCUUUCCUCACUUUAAAGUGGCCCUGGGACAGAGCCAGCUUGCAAUGUGGCGUAUUUUUUUCCCACAGAUGAUGGGCUGCUGUUAUUCCAGACAUCUCUCAAAUGUUCAGUGGGAUGAUGAGACAAACACCUGUUUGUUUGCACAGUCAGUAUAAUCUGUACCGUUUUUGCAGGUGGUGCCCUUGCACAGUUCUUUGAGGAGGUGGUGGUGGUUCAUCAUUUGGACACAUCAGGUUGGAACUAUUCAGUGACCAUCACCAACUGUAAAAUGCCAUAAAUGGAACAAUAUCUUGAGAGGAGCUGCACAGAACCCUUCAGAUUAACCAACUGGCACUGCAAUGCCUGAUGUGCAUUCAGGCAUCCAGGAAAAAUAUAACCCGUGGCUCUGGCAGCCCACAAGCGAUGCUACUAAUGAUGGAAGAGAAAAACCUUUCCAAGGUCAAGUUACCAAACAUCUGAACUCUGGGAAGCAUUUGUCAUGGCCUGGGAAUUGAUCUGAAACCUGAUCCAUCUUGGAGAAUAAAUCACCACAGAAAGCAUGCAUUAGAAUAUCUCUCACUGAAAUUCCCUAUGGAGCUGAUUUCCUGGAAGCAGACUUAGGUGUAGUAUUGGUAAUGGGACUAGCAGGCUGGAAGGAAGGCUGAAAAAUAGUCACAAGAAAUGAAAACAUCAGUGCUUACAGAGGGAGGGACCAAAGCUGCUCCUUUCAGCUCAGUGAAAA